AUUGCCCUGCGGUGUUCGUUAAGGCCGUACAUUCCUUGAACCAAUGCGAGAACCAAGGCUGUGGCGAAUGGCGCGUCGCUGUUGAGAUCGUCCCACUGCGGAUGAACCUGAUGUGAUGCCCGCUGCAGCCGCCCUGAACUUCACGGUUCAGGAUGGCGGUCUACCGGCACAGGCGGGGCACUC
rnacentral:other from 1 species